AGCAUUGGCUAACAGCUGCUUGAAAGAGUAGAGGAAAGUCCACGCUAGCACAACCUGCGAUGGUUGUAGUGAUCAUGCUAGGCCCAAUAAGCCUAGGCUUAGACGACUAGUGCCACAGAGACGAGAAUUGUGAAACGCGGUAAACUCCAUGAGUUAGAAACCCAAAUAUUGGUAGGGGAACUUUUCAACGGAAAUUGAACCAAAGAAAAGAGUUGAUUAAUCAACUAGAUAAAUUGUUAGCACCUGAGAGGGUACAAAACGUGGCUUAUAAAUGCUAAAACACUUGCGCGA
rnacentral:RNase_P_RNA from 15 species